UAGGGAAUCUUCGGCAAUGGACGAAAGUCUGACCGAGCAACGCCGCGUGAGUGAAGAAGGUUUUCGGAUCGUAAAACUCUGUUGUUAGAGAAGAACAAGGACGUUAGUAACUGAACGUCCCCUGACGGUAUCUAACCAGAAAGCCACGGCUAACUACGUGCCAGCAGCCGCGGUAAUACGUAGGUGGCAAGCGUUGUCCGGAUUUAUUGGGCGUAAAGCGAGCGCAGGCGGUUUCUUAAGUCUGAUGUGAAAGCCCCCGGCUCAACCGGGGAGGGUCAUUUGAAACUGGGGGACUUGAGUGCAGAAGAGGAGAGUGGAAUUCCAUGUGUAGCGGUGAAAUGCGUAGAUAUAUGGAGGAACACCAGUGGCGAAGGCGGCUCUCUGUUCUAUAACUGACGCUGAGGCUCGAAAGCGUGGGGAGCAAACAGG
rnacentral:rRNA from 1 species